CUAGGAGUCUCCCUCCAGACUCAUGUGGUUGUAGAAAGUCCAGUUCCUUGUGGUUGUAAUACUGAGGUCACUGUCUCCUCACUGGCUGUCAGCUAUGGGUCGCUCUCAGAGACUAGACACUGCCUGCAUUCCUUGCCAUGUGGCCCCCUCCCUCUUCAAAGCCAGCAAUGGAGAAUUUCUCUCUCAUUCAAUGCCUCUCUUAUGCUUCAGAUCUCUCUGACUUUCUCUGUCUCUGACCUCUAGAUCCAGAUGUGAAGGCCUGCUGUGAUGAGGUCAGGCUCGUCUGGGUAAUCUCCCUAUUUUAAGGUCAAUUGAUUUGGGAACUUAAUUACAUCUGAAAUGAGUGUUUGAAUAACUGGGCUUCACAGUGUUAGUGUCUGAGUAACCGGGAGAAGGUAUGUGUACAGCAGGGACUAAGAACCUUGGAAUCUUUUAGAAGUCUACCCACCACAGUGGGAAAUUCCUCAAACACAGGAAGGUGUACCAGUGGUUCAAAUGUUGGGAAAUCAAAAACUUUACAAAUGUCUACCACAGGAAGAAAGAGGACAAAUGAAGACAUAGGAAAACUAAAAGACUCUCUGUCAGCAGCAACUGCCACAGAUCCUGGCACCCGUCAGUGGAUGGACUCGUCAUAGUUUUUGGUUUUCUUCCAUCACAAGGAUUGUAACCAGGAUUGACCCCUUGAGCUGAGCUGCACUUGCCUGUACUAUGAAGGCCGCGGGCAGAAUGCAGAAAGACUCUAAUACAGAAAGACUAUGCAGUGUGCACGAGGUGAGGCACCACUAGUGCAAGCCCCCGUCUUCCCUGCAGAUGUUUCACCACUCCUCCGUGAAGAAGAGGAAGAAGUCAAAAUCACAUGCGGAAAUUUCCCAGGUGCCACAGAUGAUGUGGCCAGAAGGAUGACCUCCUCUCGGGUCUCUGAAAAUCAAGGUAGUCAAGCCUUCUGCAGAGAAGCUCAGGACUGCCUGCUAUUAUCUCUCCUCCAAAAGAUAAUAAUUCCACAAACAGUUGUUGCACACCUACAAAAUACUGACUCUGCACCAAACACUGGGGAAUAUAAAGAUGAUUAAGAUACAGUUCUUGUCCUCAGGAGGCUGCUGGCUAGUGGGGGGACACAGGUGAUGAACACAACAACAGCGGCACUAGACACAGUGGCCAGCAGAGAAGGGAGUGGGGAACUUGAGGGUGGGCUGGGUCCUCCUUGAAGGGCAAGACGGGCUAUGAUAAUAGUAUUUAUUGAGCAUUUACUGUGUUCCAGGCACCGUUCUAAGUAUACAUGUAUUAACCAAUUAAAAACAUGCAUGAGGAGGCCAGCCCAGUGGCGUAGUGGGUAAGUUUGCGUGCUCCUCUUCGGUGGUCUGGGGUUCAUGGUUUCGGAUCCCAGGUGCAGACCUACAAACCAAUCACCAAGCCAUACUUGGGUUGCGCCCCACAUACAAAAAAUAGGGGAAGCUUGGCACAGAUGUAAGCUUAGUGACAAUUUUCCUCAAGCAAAAAGAGGAAGAUUGGCAACAGAUGUUAUCUCAGGGCCCAUCUUCCUCACCAAAAAAAAAAGAAAAGGAAGAUAGAAAGAAAGAAAAAAAGAAAAAAAAAAUUCCCCCCAACCGCCCAAAAUGCAUGAGACAAGUACUAGUAUUAUCCCCAGAUGAGUAAACUGAGAAUGUAAGUAAUUUGCUUAAGGUCACACAGCUAAGUCUGGAUUCAACACCUCAGUGCAUAGUCUUAAUGACUGCACAGUGCUGCAGGAAAGCAUUUCCAGGAAGCUGCUCCAGGGCUAAGAAUAUAAAAAAUAGGCAUGGAUUAGUAAUCUUUAACAUGUUUUGUAGGUGCUCUGGUAGAGUGUGGACUAGAGUCCCAGAUGUGAGACUAGAAUCUAGGAUUUCCCAAGAGGAAGUAUCCAGCGAUAGAGUCCCCAUAAGCAAAAUAUCCAGAAAGUUCCUAUUUCAGGUAACUGUGCUUCUAGAACCCUGUUUAGAAAUCCCUGUUCCCCUAAAGAUGGUGACUAGGGUUCAGGCAAGCUACCAGAGAUUUACACAUUAAAAUGCAAAUGAGGCUGGAUUCUAAGAGUUUAAAGAGCCAUGAUUUUAGUCCACCAGGCUUCCCAGAGCCAGAUCAUUGUCUUUAUCUUGCAAAUAGAGAGAUUUGAGAGUUUGAGAGCAGAAGAGCCCCAAACAGGACUUGGCAUGCUAGGGCUGGCCUGAGGCAGAGCUGGGAAGAAGCCAUUUUGCAGAAGGAAAAAUACCUAGAAAGGAUGAGCGUAUAUCUAAUCCAGAAUGAGCUUUCUGACAAUGGAAAGAUUUGGUAGGCUCAGGCAAGAGGAGUCUUGAUAAGGGCAAGCAGAAAUGAUUGAGAAAAAAUGGGAUUCCAGCAUGUAGGUGGCGAGGAAUGUGUCUUGGCAGCCUUCGAUUUCAACAGGGAGACCUGGGCUGGGAUGGGAAAGGGCCUUCUCCUCCAGGACCAAGGUGGAGCUAAAGGAACGACCUCAGCUUUGGCCAGGGGUGUAGAAGUCAGCUGUGCUGACCAGUGGGACAGUAGCCUUGUAGGUCGGGACUCCUGUGGGGCAUGUGGCCUGGCAGAAGGGAGGAAGACAGAGAGGGCUUGAAUGGACCUGUUUGAAUGCUUUAAGCUGAAGCCAGACUACUGAGUAAUGUGCCACAGCCCUCAACUCUCC
ensembl:lncRNA